GUUAGUAAAUACAAGGAGUAAUGGUAUAACGUUUCCUUCAUUAUGGAAACAUCAAUUCCAGGCAUUACCCAUUACCGUUUCCUUCUAUUUACCUAAACUGUUUCCAAUUCUUACGAGACCAGGGUACAUUUCGUUGUGACUUGUAUAAAUAGGUCUUACCUAUUUCCACCAAACGACAAGUUUUGGUCAGGAGCAUACAUUCACUAGUGGAAAAUGGAUUUUUUAAGUCUGCUUGCGAUUUAUAAAAAAAACUUCCCCAUGGCUUUCUUAAUGGGUUGGGCUUCCUACGGUAGACGUUUUGUGAUCAAAAUAAAAUCGAGUUCCCUUAACAGUCGUUAUACUAGUGGGCUUCCGUAGAAACUGGUUUAUGUUGUUCGAGAUUUGGUUUCUUAUCUCAAUCCCAAAUCUGCCUCUUCCCUAAUAACUGCGCCCCCUAUUCUCUCUUCCUCAUCUCAUCUCUUCAUCUCUAUCACCACCGAAUCUCAGAUUCAACAUCACAGAUCAAAACUCACCCUCACAAGUCAAAUCUUAAUCUUAACUCCAUCCCUGAAUCAAAACCCACGAAUCAGCAGAAAUAAAAUGCAAAAAUAAACCCUUUUAACCCUGGAUCUAGCUGUUUUGCUCCUGAAUUCCUAAGGUUUGAGCGUCUACUAUGCAGAUCUCUCCAUUAAAGGCGCUCAACAACUUGGAGCAUCGGCAUUAAGGAAUUAAGAUUCUGAUAUUUUUUUGGUCUUUGAUGAAUCAUUUGAGGGAAAAUUAUUUGUGGUCGAGAAAGAUGAUUCAUCAGCUCUCCCUUAUCUCAUCUCUUUUUGGUCCAAAAUUUUUGUUAAUUCGGGAGAAAAUUUGUUUAUUAGGAUGAGCUUACUACUAUUGAUUAGGUUGAAGAACAACAAUCGAAAUCAGAUAAACGAACAUAUGGUGGUCAAAGAAGAAGAGGAAAUUGAAAGUGCAGGUGGUUUAAGAAGAGGAUUUUGUAAGAACAUGUGGUUUUAUAUUGAAUGUAUUUGAUAUUUUUGUGUUUAUUUUUUGAUUCAUAAUGUUUAAUUAGUAAAGGAUUCGUCUGAUUUUGGGUAAUUUCAUGGUGGUGGUGGUGAGUGAUAGUUGAGCCCCGACCACCACCACCACUCAAAAACUUGUCUUUUUGUUGAUGUAAGUCCAUGAAUGUUGCCCAUAUUAUCCGAUUUACUGCCAUUGGAGUGCAGGGAAUUGGCAUACUAAUCGGAAUGGAAGAUGUACCACAAGAGACGGUUUCUCAAUGGUAGUUGGACAGGGAAGACAUUUUUUUUAAUAAGAAAGUUUGAGUUUAACUUGCUCUUACAUAGGUGGAGUUACAGGAGUAACUCCCCAACUUGUCUAGCUAGUUUAUAUUAUGCUUUUAUACUUACUAGUUUAAUUUUCCUCCUAUUCAGGUCCAAGAGCUGCUUUUAAAUGCCAACGUACAAAAUCUGGAAGAACCCUGAGCUAUAAUAGCUAAUAUACAACAAUCAAUCAUGUAGAAGUUUGGUUGAUGUUCAUGUAACUCUUGAACUUGGGUUUCUUCGCCUAUGGCUGAAUUUUUUCUGAUAACUACCGAAUUGUUAACUUGGGUGUGGCGGUCGGGUGUUUGUCUCCACUUCUGUUUGAGAAGUCCGAACGACAGGUGGGUUUUUGGUGCAGGACUUGGGAUCUUCAUACAUGGCUGGUUUGAGCCAUUCUCUGCUAGUGGGUCUGUCAUGCGUCUUCUUCCUACUUCAUUUGCAUACCUUCUUUCUUCUAUUAUUUACGAGCUUAUUGAAUAAACAACAUAAGCAGCUUGUCUACUUUCAUUCUUUAAUGCAUGCAGAUCCUAACAGUGAAUUCAAGUGGUUACCAAGGCAAAAUACAGUUAAUGCUAGGAGACUCGCCACGGAGCAAGUCUUGAGGUAAUCAUGGAUGAGUAGGACAACUUGAAUGUUGCCUAUUUCUUACAAAUACAAAGGCUGAGCUUGUUGGGUGCUUAAUGGACCUGAUUAGUGCUAAUUUGUUAAUAGAUGAAGGCAUAGAUAGUGAAGUUUCGCCUGCAAGUUAGUGUAGAUUAUCUGGUUUGUUAGCUUGUAACAAGAAUAUUAAGUUAAGUAAAUGAAGUUUUGAGAUUUGGGAAAAGUAUAUUAGAUGAUUAAAGUUGUAAACUGUUGGCACUUUUCAAUAAGAAUUUAAUUUUAAUAUUACUAUCA